rnacentral:rRNA from 1 species
CCAGACUCCUACGGGAGGCAGCAGUGGGGAAUAUUGCACAAUGGGCGCAAGCCUGAUGCAGCGACGCCGCGUGGGGGAUGACGGCCUUCGGGUUGUAAACUCCUUUCGCUAGGGACGAAGCGUUUUUGUGACGGUACCUGGAGAAGAAGCACCGGCUAACUACGUGCCAGCAGCCGCGGUAAUACGUAGGGUGCGAGCGUUGUCCGGAAUUACUGGGCGUAAAGAGCUCGUAGGUGGUUUGUCGCGUCGUUUGUGUAAGCCCGCAGCUUAACUGCGGGACUGCAGGCGAUACGGGCAUAACUUGAGUGCUGUAGGGGAGACUGGAAUUCCUGGUGUAGCGGUGGAAUGCGCAGAUAUCAGGAGGAACACCGAUGGCGAAGGCAGGUCUCUGGGCAGUAACUGACGCUGAGGAGCGAAAGCAUGGGUAGCGAACAGGAUUAGAUACCCUGGUAGUCCAUGCCGUAAACGGUGGGCGCUAGGUGUGAGUCCCUUCCACGGGGUUCGUGCCGUAGCUAACGCAUUAAGCGCCCCGCCUGGGGAGUACGGCCGCAAGGCUAAAACUCAAAGGAAUUGACGGGGGCCCGCACAAG